AUUGAACGCUGGCGGCAGGCCUAACACAUGCAAGUCGAACGAGUGGCGGACGGGUGAGUAAUGUCUGGGAACCUGCCUGAUGGAGGGGGAUAACUACUGGAAACGGUAGCUAAUACCGCAUACCAUCAGAUGUGCCCAGAUGGGAUUAGCUAGUUGGUGGGGUAACGGCUCACCAAGGCGACGAUCCCUAGCUUGUCUGAGAGGAUGACCACCAAACCGGGAAUGGAGACACGGUCCAGAGUCGUACGGGAGGCAGCAGUGGGGAAUAUUGCACAAUGGGCGCAAGCCUGAUGCAGCCAUGCCGCGUGUAUGAAGAAGGCCUUCGGGUUGUAAAGUACUUUCAGCGGGGAGGCGUUACCCGCAGAAGAAGGGCCGGCUAACUCCGUGCCAGCAGCCGCGGUAAUUC
rnacentral:rRNA from 1 species